AAAAAGAUAAGCUAAAUUAAGCUAAUAGGUUCAUACCCUACAUAUAGAGAGACUCUCUUCUUUUUA
rnacentral:tRNA from 1 species